rnacentral:rRNA from 1 species
UUAAGCGACUAAGCGUACACGGUGGAUGCCCUGGCAGUCAGAGGCGAUGAAGGACGUGCUAAUCUGCGAAAAGCGUCGGUAAGGUGAUAUGAACCGUUAUAGCCGGCGAUGUCCGAAUGGGGAAACCCAGUGUGAUUCGUCACACUAUCGUUAACUGAAUACAUAGGUUAACGAGGCGAACCGGGGGAACUGAAACAUCUAAGUACCCCGAGGAAAAGAAAUCAACCGAGAUUCCCCCAGUAGCGGCGAGCGAACGGGGAGCAGCCCAGAGUCUGAAUCAGCUUGUGUAUUAGUGGAACGGUCUGGAAAGUCCGACGGUACAGGGUGAUAGUCCCGUACACCAAAAUGCACAGGCUGUGAACUCGAAGAGUAGGGCGGGACACGUGGUAUCCUGUCUGAAUAUGGGGGGACCAUCCUCCAAGGCUAAAUACUCCUGACUGACCGAUAGUAAACCAGUACCGUGAGGGAAAGGCGAAAAGAACCCCGGCGAGGGGAGUGAAAAAGAACCUGAAACCGUGUACGUACAAGCAGUGGGAGCACCUUCGGGUGUGACUGCGUACCUUUUGUAUAAUGGGUCAGCGACUUAUAUUCUGUAGCAAGGUUAACCGUAUAGGGGAGCCGCAGGGAAACCGAGUCUUAACUGGGCGUUAAGUUGCAGGGUAUAGACCCGAAACCCGGUGAUCUAGCCAUGGGCAGGUUGAAGGUUGGGUAACACUAACUGGAGGACCGAACCGACUAAUGUUGAAAAAUUAGCGGAUGACUUGUGGCUGGGGGUGAAAGGCCAAUCAAACCGGGAGAUAGCUGGUUCUCCCCGAAAGCUAUUUAGGUAGCGCCUCGUGAAUUCAUCUUCGGGGGUAGAGCACUGUUUCGGCUAGGGGGUCAUCCCGACUUACCAACCCGAUGCAAACUACGAAUACCGAAGAAUGUUAUCACGGGAGACACACGGCGGGUGCUAACGUCCGUCGUGAAGAGGGAAACAACCCAGACCGCCAGCUAAGGUCCCAAAGUCAUGGUUAAGUGGGAAACGAUGUGGGAAGGCACAGACAGCCAGGAUGUUGGCUUAGAAGCAGCCAUCAUUUAAAGAAAGCGUAAUAGCUCACUGGUCGAGUCGGCCUGCGCGGAAGAUGUAACGGGGCUAAACCAUGCACCGAAGCUGCGGCAGCGACACUAUGUGUUGUUGGGUAGGGGAGCGUUCUGUAAGCCUGCGAAGGUGACCUGUGAGGGUUGCUGGAGGUAUCAGAAGUGCGAAUGCUGACAUAAGUAACGAUAAAGCGGGUGAAAAGCCCGCUCGCCGGAAGACCAAGGGUUCCUGUCCAACGUUAAUCGGGGCAGGGUGAGUCGACCCUAAGGCGAGGCCGAAAGGCGUAGUCGAUGGGAAACAGGUUAAUAUUCCUGUACUUGGUGUUACUGCGAAGGGGGGACGGAGAAGGCUAUGUUAGCCGGGCGACGGUUGUCCCGGUUUAAGCAUGUAGGCUGGUUGUCCAGGCAAAUCCGGAUAAUCAAGGCUGAGGUGUGAUGACGAGGUACUACGGUGCUGAAGUAACAAAUGCCCUGCUUCCAGGAAAAGCCUCUAAGCAUCAGGUAACAUCAAAUCGUACCCCAAACCGACACAGGUGGUCAGGUAGAGAAUACCAAGGCGCUUGAGAGAACUCGGGUGAAGGAACUAGGCAAAAUGGUGCCGUAACUUCGGGAGAAGGCACGCUGGUGUGUAGGUGAAGUCCCUGCGGAUGGAGCUGAGACCAGUCGAAGAUACCAGCUGGCUGCAACUGUUUAUUAAAAACACAGCACUGUGCAAACACGAAAGUGGACGUAUACGGUGUGACGCCUGCCCGGUGCCGGAAGGUUAAUUGAUGGGGUUAUCCGUAAGGAGAAGCUCUUGAUCGAAGCCCCGGUAAACGGCGGCCGUAACUAUAACGGUCCUAAGGUAGCGAAAUUCCUUGUCGGGUAAGUUCCGACCUGCACGAAUGGCGUAAUGAUGGCCAGGCUGUCUCCACCCGAGACUCAGUGAAAUUGAACUCGCUGUGAAGAUGCAGUGUACCCGCGGCAAGACGGAAAGACCCCGUGAACCUUUACUAUAGCUUGACACUGAACAUUGAGCCUUGAUGUGUAGGAUAGGUGGGAGGCUUUGAAGCGUGGACGCCAGUCUGCGUGGAGCCAACCUUGAAAUACCACCCUUUAAUGUUUGAUGUUCUAACGUUGGCCCCUGACCGGGGUUGCGGACAGUGUCUGGUGGGUAGUUUGACUGGGGCGGUCUCCUCCCAAAGCGUAACGGAGGAGCACGAAGGUUAGCUAAUCCUGGUCGGACAUCAGGAGGUUAGUGCAAUGGCAUAAGCUAGCUUGACUGCGAGCGUGACGGCGCGAGCAGGUGCGAAAGCAGGUCAUAGUGAUCCGGUGGUUCUGAAUGGAAGGGCCAUCGCUCAACGGAUAAAAGGUACUCCGGGGAUAACAGGCUGAUACCGCCCAAGAGUUCAUAUCGACGGCGGUGUUUGGCACCUCGAUGUCGGCUCAUCACAUCCUGGGGCUGAAGUAGGUCCCAAGGGUAUGGCUGUUCGCCAUUUAAAGUGGUACGCGAGCUGGGUUUAGAACGUCGUGAGACAGUUCGGUCCCUAUCUGCCGUGGGCGCUGGAGAAUUGAGGGGGGCUGCUCCUAGUACGAGAGGACCGGAGUGGACGCAUCACUGGUGUUCGGGUUGUCAUGCCAAUGGCACUGCCCGGUAGCUAAAUGCGGAAGAGAUAAGUGCUGAAAGCAUCUAAGCACGAAACUUGCCCCGAGAUGAGUUCUCCCUGAGACUUUAAGUCUCCUGAAGGAACGUUGAAGACGACGACGUUGAUAGGCCGGGUGUGUAAGCGCAGCGAUGCGUUGAGCUAACCGGUACUAAUGAACCGUGAGGCUUAACCU